UGGGUUGGUUGCCAUGGGGUUGUUGGUAACUAGGGAGCAGAUUGGUGGGUUGGUCACCACGGUGGUUGAUCGCUAGGGAGGGGAUUGGUGGGUUAGUACCAUAGCGAUUCUAGGGAGGGGAUUGGUGGGUUGGUUACCGCAGUGGUUGGUCGCUACGGAAGGGAUUGGUGGGUUGGUUGUCAUGGGGUGGCUGGUAACUAGGGAGCAGAUUGGUGGGUUGGUCACCGCGGUGGUUGAUCGCUAGGGAGGGGAUUGGUGGGUUAGUACCAUAGCGAUUCUAGGGAGGGGAUUGGUGGGUUGGUUACCGCAGUGGUUGAUCGCUAGGGAGGGGAUUGGUGGGUUAGUACCAUAGCGAUUCUAGGGAGGGGAUUGGUGGGUUGGUUACUGCAGUGAUUAGUCACUAGGGUGGGGGUUGGUAGUGCAGUUAUCAUGCUGACUGACCACUAACAGCGAUUGGUGGGAUGGUUCCCGUGGUGGUUAGUUGCUAGAGAGAGAAUUGCUGAUUUGGCUAAUAAGGAUGAUGGGUCACUCUUGAGAGAGGGAGGGGAUUGGUGGUUUGAUUACCAGGGUGAUUGUUGCUAAGGAGUUGAUUGGAGGUUCAGUUACUAGGGGCUACUGGUCACUAAGGAGCGACUGGAUUGAUGCUCUGUUUACUGGGUGUGAAAUAUUGUUCGGGGGCGGGGGGUGUUUGAGGCUUAAGGGAUUAAAUUUGGGUGACGGGGGACAGAUUUUGGUACUCCCCAAACCUUUGUAGCAUUUAAUGAUGGUGCCCAGGGGGUUCAUACCCAGGAACCCCCCUCAUCCCAGCUCACCAGGAAUCCCCACCAACACCACUGCCCACUUCCUAGUGCCCAAGUCAUGGGGCACCCCAUUCCUUCAGAUCUCCCCAUCUCUGGGCCUCUGCUUGGUUCAGAGGGGAGGGAGGUGGAUUGACAGCCUCGUGACAUGGGGGGCGCAUGAGGCAGGAUAGACUGACGCCCCCUCAUUCGGGACAGCAUUCACAGCAUUCGCCGAUUUCAGAACCAGCUGCCAGGACAGAACAGGAACAGACGUUUCAUCAGGGAGACGGGGCUGUCGGGCGCCCGGGUGAAUCCUGUCCCUGGAGCACUGAGACACUGCGGACUCCACAUGGCGACAGGGAAAUGGAUGAGAACAAAUAUCUUCCUCUUAGAGAGUCAGUGGGGCCAGAUCCCAGCUAGUGUCAAUCAGCCGUAGCUCCAUUGAGGUCAAUGGGGCCAGAUCCCCAGCUGGGGUCACUCAGCCGUAGCUCCAGUGGAGUCAAUGGGGCCAGAUCCCCAGCUGGGGUCACUCGGCCGUAGCUCCAUUGAGGUCAAUGGGGCCAGAUCCCCAGCUGGGCUCACUCGGCCGUAGCUCCAGUGGGGUCAGUGACACCCGCUGGGGGUCUGGCCCCAUUGAGCCCAGUGGAGCUGCAGCCGAGUGACACCAGCUGGGGGUCUGGCCCCAAUUGGCCAUGACUCCAGUGGGGUCAAUGGGCCAGAUCACCAAGAGGUGUCUCUCCGCCGUCGCUGUCUCGGAGUCAAGGCUGGUUGACGGCAGCUGGCCAUGGAUCCUGGAAGUUCUCAGAUCUUGUGACACUAUAACACGACUGACCUUUAUAUUUAUUGACGGUUCCCGUCCCCCUCCCCGCAACGUGCCCUAGGUUUGUCUAACUUAGAUUGUAAGCUUACUGGGGCAGGAACCUUUCUUUUUUUUUUUUUUUUUUAGACCUCUGUACGAGCACCGUGCAAAGCCGCGGGGCUGCAGAAAUGUUUAAUAAUAAUAAUAAAAACCUAACGAGGAGUCAUCUCAAAGCACCUCCGUGGCCGCGCCGAUCUACAGCCAAGCCUACGGUCCACAGACCGGGAUUGGGGCCGGCCCGUCGAUGGAUCCUCGGUGGUUUGGAGAACCUGGUUUCUACGGUGUCCGUUGCUGAUAUGCAAUCCAGGGGUGACGCGCAUUCUGUCGACUCUCAGCCCGUGCCCAAAAUUGUAGCAGCUGUGGACAAAACUUGGGCAGAUCGUUGGUUUUGGUAUUGGGAAUGGAACCCAGGAGUCCUGACUCCCAGCUCCAACUGCUAGACCCCAUUCCCCAUCCAGCGCUGAAGAUCAAACCCAGGAGUCCUGAGUCCCAGCCCCUCUGCUCUAACCACAAGACUCCACCCCCCUACUGGAGCCAGAGAUGGAACCCAGAGAUUCCCAGCCCCCCCUGCUCUGACCCACUAGACCUCACUCCCCUCCCAGAGCUGGGGCUAGAACCCAGGAGUCCUGGCUCCCAGCCCCUCCUGCUUUCAGCUGCCACAAUUUCCCCAUCAGUGUGGGAGUGUGUGGCAGGGAAGGAAAUAAUUCUGUAUUUGAUGUCAGUGGGGGGUCUGUGACGGGGUGUGGGGAAUAAAGUGACCAAUAUGCAAAUGAAAGGACAAGACCAGGAUGCCUUGGGGCUUUCAAUCCUGGGCAUGGGAGUGUCCUCACUCUGAUUGGAAAUCAUCCACCAGUCAGAGGAAACCACCAUGCCUGGGGUGGUGAAGGAUUUACCCCCCUGAGCCUUCACAGGCAGAUACGUGCCUCAUUUCCUCUCCC